GUUAUCCAAAGGUCUCUGUUUUACUACCUUUUUUGUUUCUUUGUUUUUUAAAGGAUUAUCCUCGCAAUCAACCAACAAACCAAUUGCCUGAACCAAUGGGAGGUAAGUGCCAAGUGGCACAAAGAGAGCAGAAUAUUCCAAAGGCUCCCGUGCACCUGCAAGUCUGGUGGCUGGAUAUGAUAAGUUGGAGGGUGAGGGUGACAGAAGCUGGGAAAUGAAAGAUGGGAUUGUUUUCUUGUCAUCCUGUAUCCCUGCCACCUGGCGAUGGUGUUUCUGGAGAGUUACCUGGAACUUGAUGGAUCUGUACAGCGAAGACUGAAUUGGGGCAUCGGUGAAGAUGGUGUUUCUUCACGCUCCCAUUAUUCUUCCAGAACUGUUAGGAGUGGAAAUCAUUUCACCUUUGCACUUAGAAGAAAGCAA